GAACACCGCCGGGGGAGCCCCAAAAAUGGGCUGAGAGGGUAAACACCGACCCCAUAACCUGAACUGGUUAAUGCCAGCGAAGGGAGAGCGGUUGCCGUAGGCU
rnacentral:ncRNA from 2 species